GUGAGGAAGGGUCCCCGCGCUGGGUCGGGCCGGGCCCGCAGCGCUCGGGGCUCCCCGCGCCGCUCUGCCUCUGUGCGCUCCGCAGGCUCCCGGCGCCGCGCUCCUUGCAGCUGCUUUACCGCUCCUUUUAGCGCUUCGGAACCGCGUGCCCUCCGUGUUGCAUGAACAGAGGCACAGUCCUGACUUAGAAUCGCUUCUGGGGUGCACCCAGAGUGCGGAUCGUGACAGAACAGUUUUGCAGUGAAAAAAGGAAAGAUUGAGGAAAUAAACUCUACAGCUAUUAAUGGAUUAAUCUUUUGCCAAAUUGGCCAGGUGAAUUGCCUCACGGUGGGAGCCUCCAGCCACCAAAGCUAGGGCAAGGUGAGCAGCAGGACUUCUGGGAAGCAGUGCUGGAGAGGAGCCAGACGCCUCCAGUUCGGUGUUAGAUCCGCUCGAGCUGUAACCUGAUCCAGCACAACACAGGCUGCUGUAACUCUGCACAUUUCCCUGAGCAGUAGCAGGAGUACAAGACAUUGAAAGCUUUCCCAUUUCAUCUGAUGUUUCUGCAGUUUUACUUUGCUGUUAACAAAGAUGUGCAUUUGCUGGAAAAUGCUCUCUGGGCAUCUUGAUUUACUCUGCAGCUAAUAUUUUUUUUCUUCUGUUUUUUUAAGUUGAAGCAGACUUUCCCAUUAAGAAAUUCAGUUUAGCAUAGGUCCUGAAUAUUGGAAGAACUAUAUCCACCUUACUCAUGGUGGUUGUGUAGUGUGAUUAAAGUAUUCAAGAAACAGUCAAGUAAUUCACGUUUCUUACAGAAAGUAGACACUCCUAAAAUUCUUAGAAAGUAUUUGUUUUGUUCUGGUAUUUAUAGCUGUAGGUCUCAUUGUUUUCCUAAAUCUAUAUGCAGAUACUAAGUAGAAGUAAAACACUGAACUUCUUGGUACUACCUAUGGAAAAAUUGAGGUAUUAUGGGCAUACACAAAGUUGUUUAAAAUAUGACUAUAAUCUUGCUAUUUAAACUGAGAAAGUUAAUACGAAAAUUAUUUUAAACUAGAGAAAACGAGAUCUUUUUUGUGAGAUGAAAACUGAUGAGAUUAGCAUUUAUUUCUACUGCCUCCUUUAGCCUUAGGCUUUUUUUUUU
rnacentral:lncRNA from 1 species